NAAUUGAAGAGUUUGAUCAUGGCUCAGAUUGAACGCUGGCGGCAGGCCUAACACAUGCAAGUCGAGCGGUAGCACAGAGGAGCUUGCUNCUUGGGUGACGAGCGGCGGACGGGUGAGUAAUGUCUGGGNAACUGCCUGAUGGAGGGGGAUAACUACUGGAAACGGUAGCUAAUACCGCAUAACCUCGCAAGAGCAAAGAGGGGGANCUUAGGGCCUCUCGCNAUNNGAUGUGCCCAGAUGGGAUUAGCUAGUAGGUGAGGUAAUGGCUCACCUAGGCGACGAUCCCUAGCUGGUCUGAGAGGAUGACCAGCCACACUGGAACUGAGACACGGUCCAGACUCCUACGGGAGGCAGCAGUGGGGAAUAUUGCACAAUGGGCGCAAGCCUGAUGCAGCCAUGCNGCGUGUGUGAAGAAGGCCUUCGGGUUGUAAAGCACUUUCAGCGAGGAGGAAGGCGGUAAGGUUAAUAACCUUAUCGAUUGACGUUACUCGCAGAAGAAGCACCGGCUAACUCCGUGCCAGCAGCCNCGGUAAUACGGAGGGUGCAAGCGUUAAUCGGAAUGACUGGGCGUAAAGCGCACGCAGGCGGUCUGUUAAGUUGGAUGUGAAAUCCCCGGGCUUAACCUGGGAACUGCAUUCAAAACUGACAGGCUAGAGUCUUGUAGAGGGGNGUAGAAUUCCAGGUGUAGCGGUGAAAUGCGUAGAGAUCUGGAGGAAUACCNGUGGCGAAGGCGGCCCCCUGGACAAAGACUGACGCUCAGGUGCNNAAGCGUGGGGAGCAAACAGGAUUAGAUACCCUGGUAGUCCACGCUGUAAACGAUGUCGAUUUGGAGGUUGUGCCCUUGAGGCGUGGCUUCCGGAGCUAACGCGUUAAAUCGACCGCCUGGGGAGUACGGCCGCAAGGUUAAAACUCAAAUGAAUUGACGGGGGCCCGCACAAGCGGUGGAGCAUGUGGUUUAAUUCGAUGCAACGCGAAGAACCUUACCUACUCUUGACAUCCACAGAAUUUGGUAGAGAUACCUUAGUGCCUUCGGGAACUGUGAGACAGGUGCUGCAUGGCUGUCGUCAGCUCGUGUUGUGAAAUGUUGGGUUAAGUCCCGCAACGAGCGCAACCCUUAUCCUUUGUUGCNAGNNAUUCGGUCGGGAACUCAAAGGAGACUGCCGGUGAUAAACCGGAGGAAGGUGGGGAUGACGUCAAGUCAUCAUGGCCNUUACGAGUAGGGCUACACACGUGCUACAAUGGCGUAUACAAAGAGAAGCGACCUCGCGAGAGCAAGCGGACCUCAUAAAGUACGUCGUAGUCCGGAUUGGAGUCUGCAACUCGACUCCAUGAAGUCGGAAUCGCUAGUAAUCGUAGAUCAGAAUGCUACGGUGAAUACGUUCCCGGGCCUUGUACACACCGCCCGUCACACCAUGGGAGUGGGUUGCAAAAGAAGUAGGUAGCUUAACCUUCGGGAGGGCGCUUACCACUUUGUGAUUCANGACCGGGG
rnacentral:rRNA from 1 species